GGGUGAGUAACACGUGAGCAACCUGCCCCUGACUCUGGGAUAAGCGCUGGAAACGGCGUCUAAUACCGGAUAUGAGACACAAUCGCAUGGUUCGUGUUUGGAAAGAUUUUUCGGUUGGGGAUGGGCUCGCGGCCUAUCAGCUUGUUGGUGAGGUAAUGGCUCACCAAGGCGUCGACGGGUAGCCGGCCUGAGAGGGUGACCGGCCACACUGGGACUGAGACACGGCCCAGACUCCUACGGGAGGCAGCAGUGGGGAAUAUUGCACAAUGGGCGAAAGCCUGAUGCAGCAACGCCGCGUGAGGGACGACGGCCUUCGGGUUGUAAACCUCUUUUAGCAAGGAAGAAGCGAAAGUGACGGUACUUGCAGAAAAAGCGCCGGCUAACUACGUGCCAGCAGCCGCGGUAAUACGUAGGGCGCAAGCGUUAUCCGGAAUUAUUGGGCGUAAAGAGCUCGUAGGCGGUUUGUCGCGUCUGCUGUGAAAACUGGGGGCUCAACCCCCAGCCUGCAGUGGGUACGGGCAGACUAGAGUGCGGUAGGGGAGAUUGGAAUUCCUGGUGUAGCGGUGGAAUGCGCAGAUAUCAGGAGGAACACCGAUGGCGAAGGCAGAUCUCUGGGCCGUAACUGACGCUGAGGAGCGAAAGGGUGGGGAGCAAACAGGCUUAGAUACCCUGGUAGUCCACCCCGUAAACGUUGGGAACUAGUUGUGGGGUCCAUU
rnacentral:rRNA from 1 species